AUUGAACGCUGGCGGCAGGCCUAACACAUGCAAGUCGAACGAGUGGCGGACGGGUGGGUAAUCCUUGGAAAUGUAGCUUAUGGAGGGGGAUAACUACGGGACACUGUAGAAAAUACCGUGACCCCACGGAUGCGCCCCAGUGGUGUUAGGUAGUUGGUGGGGUAAAGGCUCACCAAGCCGACGAUCUCUAGCUGGUCUGAGAGGAUGACCAGCCAAACUGGGACUGAGACACGGCCCAGACUCCUACGGGAGGCAGCAGUGGGGAAUAUUGCGCAAUGGGGGCAACCUGACGCAGCCAUGCCGCGUGAAUGAAGAAGGCCUUCGGGUUGUAAAGUUCUUUCGGUAGCGAGGCGUUAACUACAGAAGAAGCACCGGCUAACUCCGUGCCAGCAGCCGCGGUAAUAC
rnacentral:rRNA from 1 species